rnacentral:misc_RNA from 1 species
UGGACUACUAGGGUUUCUAAUCCUGUUCGCUCCCCACGCUUUCGCUCCUCAGCGUCAGUUGUGGCCCAGAGACCUGCCUUCGCCAUCGGUGUUCCUCCUGAUAUCUGCGCAUUCCACCGCUACACCAGGAAUUCCAGUCUCCCCUACCACACUCUAGUCUGCCCGUACCCACUGCAGGCCCGAGGUUGAGCCUCGGGUUUUCACAGCAGACGCGACAAACCGCCUACGAGCUCUUUACGCCCAAUAAAUCCGGACAACGCUUGCACCCUACGUAUUACCGCGGCUGCUGGCACU